UAUAAACUAAAAACUAUUAAACAAAAUCUAAAAAUAACGGCGAGAGCAGCAUACCUGCGCCACACAAAAAACCACAUCCCCGCUAUACCUAGACGAGAAAAGGAAGUUAAAGGUGCCUCCACCCUAGUGCUGAAAUACGCAAGCAGCAGGGACCCGCAGGGAGCAUCGCUCACACCAAUCACAGGAAAUCAGCGGAGGUACAGGCGACAAAAAAAGCAUACAGGUGGUACAAAAUCAGGAAGCCAAAAUCAUCCAAGGAAACGAUGGAGCUGAACACGUGUCGUCUUUGCUGCCGCGUCCACUCCUUGCGGUACUGUCAUGCUUUCAAGGCCAUGACUCCAGCUGAAAGAUAUGAGUCUGCGCGCGUACAUAAGUACUGCGUAAACUGUUUGGCGACAUCGCAUGUUACGGGCGCCUGCCACUCACCUGCCAGCUGCCGUCGCUGCGGAAAAGCCCAUCACACGCUGUUGCAUCGAGCACCAUCCUCAUCGCCAGGUCGUAGUCGGCGAGAAAUGAACCGGAAGAAAACCGUGGCUAGUCGACGGGUGAUCCGAAAACCGAAGGGCAGAGUGCAGAGUCGGACUUCUACCCAGCAACGCAUACGGGAGUUGUUCAAGCGGGCUAUGCUUACGCUCCAAAGUCUACAACAGCUGCUACGUAUUCCAACGUUCCAGGCCGGCCGCCAUGUCGGAGACAUGAGCGCAGAUCUCACCGAUCGUAAAUCACUUUGUUAUUAAUGCACUGGUUCUUAAACCAUGAAUAUGAAAAAUUUGAAAUGUAAACCCACUGUAACUUUCGAAAUUUGAACCUACUCAUUGUAACUUAAUCUAUUGUAA